GUGUUAUGUGUGUCUGUGUGUAGUUUUAGUUUCCCAUGGAUUGUUUAAACAUUUUAAUCUAAGAGAGUUUCUUCCCUGGUUCAAAGACCAUAGUGUGCACAGUUGGGGGGCAUCAAAGCUCCAAGUCGACAGAAUUAGGAAAGAAAAGCUGCAUCUUCAAUGCGCUGGCUCAGAAAUAUCACAAGGGCACACUACCAGACACCCAAUAUUCCUCUCCUGAACCUCUCGCUUGAUGAUUUAGCAUUUUCUUACCUGAGUGAGUACCAUUUCAGCGGAGAGAAAAUGGAGACAAUUCUUUCCUCCUUCACUCAGUAUGGGCUGGCGGACAUGUUGGAUUUGGGAUCAGAGCUGAGCUGAGUCGGCCUCACAGUUUGGUGUCCUGGGUCUUUAGUGAGAGUACAGCAGCGCUGGGCCCAGUGAAGUCACCAUGCGGUAAAUUGGUUAAUAGACCAAUAACAAAGAGAGCUCCAAACCUCUGCCAAUAACAGCUAGUUUUCUGUGUUACCCUCCCCACUCAGACCACUCCCAGACAGUCCUAGCAAAAUUCUUGCUUGAGAAAUUGUUUUUUUUGCUAAAAAGCUGUUUUGGUCCAUUUGAAUGGAAAUCUAUUACAAUAAGGUACUUAAUUGUUACCCAGAAAUGAUUUGAUAUUGAUUUAAAAAUGGCUGCAUUGGGCCUUCAAUAUAAUUGUUUUGCCUUGGAAUCUACAUUUACAAUAAUGUACUGUUAUCCAUUCAGACCUUGCAUAUUGACUUGGAUACUGAAUAUAAUGUCUUAAUGUUUACACCCUGACUGUUCAUCAGAACGUAUUGAGGUCAAAACAGAUCUACAGGAUUUUUUGGGGAACAAAUGUAAUUUAUCACUGAUGUAAUUCUAG
rnacentral:lncRNA from 1 species